rnacentral:lncRNA from 1 species
CCUAAUCCAAAAGGACAUGCAAAUGCUGUUAUACUGAGGAGUGGAAAAAAAUAGACAGACACGUAGAUCUAAGACUCCAAAAUCCUGCCAUGUACCAAAAACCAGACAAAACCACAACUGAGGAGGUAAGUGAACCGAAAGAGAAGGAAGAUAAUACCCGAGAGGCCGAAGAGAAAGAAAAACCUUAUGUGCCUCCACCACCUUGAAAUUUUGGUGUAGUCAGAGUUCAGAUGUUCUACUCCAAGUCAUGACAUCUGAUCCAACAUUGUUACUCAUACAACAAUAUAGUUAUACAAUUAAAACCUAGUACUAAUGCGCACACAUUCACAGAUGUCACGACAUCUGCUACUAUAUCACCAUAGAAUAGAAGAACACCCAGUUUUGUCCAUCUGGUACAAAGACACAGCAGAGAUCAAC